GAAGUAGUCCAGAUGGCCGCUGCCGGCUUGGCCGGUGGAGGAAAGUCCGGGCUCCACAGGGUAUGACGCUGGAUAACGUCCAGCGGGGGCGACCCCAGGGAUAAGUGCCACAGAGAGAAGUCCGCCUGCUGCGGCAGGUAAGGGUGAAAGGGUGAGGUAAGAGCUCACCGGGUCUGGCGGUGACGUCAGAUGCCAGGUAAACCCCGUCAGGAGCAAGGCCAAAUAGGGAGG
rnacentral:RNase_P_RNA from 1 species